GGAAAUGGCUCCGAGAGGCUUUGACGCAUGUGUACCUUUUUAGUGGCGGUAUCUCGGCCGGGGAUUUUCGGGCUCCAGUGGAGGUGGCUAUGCUCACCCCAUCUCCCUUGAGAGGCACAGAAGGUUAGAGAUGUGUGCGAGGAACGGCCAGGUCCAGCGUCUCCUCGUUGCUGCCCCUUGAGCCCGGGACCGGCGCCAAUGCGCGCCCGGGUUCUUGGGUUCUUUCGUCCCGCAGACCUGCCUUGGUGUGGCGUCCCUGGGCCGUAGCUUCCGAAGGCUGCAGCCGACCUGGUCGGGGUCCUCUAGCCCGCCUUCCCCUUCCCCCAUUGACAGAUGGAGAAACUGAGGCCCAGGCCAAAAAAUAUCUCACUAGAGGGCUCACCGCCAUUUCCUGGAAAAAUUGGGGCUGGGACUCAACGGACGCUCGUCCAGCAGCAGCGCGGAGCUCCGAAGUAAAGGCGCCCGUGACCGAGUGCUUUGUCCUUACAAGCGUGGUGUUCUUGAAUGCUUCCAGGCGCCUUAUGAGGCCCCCGAUGUACAAUCUGUGCUUAACUAAACCCCACUGUCUUCCAGGGUCAGGUUGGCCAUCCGCAGGCGUAGUUGCUAGGAAGGUUUGACAGAUGUCCGCCUGUUGAUUCAGACGUUCCCAGGAUUUGGAGCAAGAAGAGCAAGGAAGGCCAGGCGCGGUGGCUCACGUUUGUAAUCCCAGCACUUUGGGAGGCCGAGGCGGGCGGAUCACGAGGUCAGGAGUUCGAGACCAGCCUGGCCAGCAUGGUGAAACCCCGUCUCUACUAAAAAUACAAAAGAAAAUUAGCCGGGUGUGGUGGCACAUGCCUGUAGUCCCACCUACUUGGGAGGCUGAGGCAGGAGAAUUGUUUGACCUGGCAGGCGGAGGUUGCAGUGAGCCGAGAUUGCGCCACUGCACUCCAGUCUGGGCGACAGAGCGAGACUCUGUCUCAGAAAAAAAAAAGAGCAAGGAGGUGUUGAAAAUGGGUUUCCUGGCUGGGCGUGGUGGCUCACGCUUGUAAUCCCAGCACUUUGGGAAGCUGAGGUGGGCGGAUCACUUGAGGUCAGGAGUUUGAGACCAGCCUGGCCAACAUGGUGAAACACCGUCUCCACUAAAAAUAGAAAAAUUAACUGGGUGUGGUGGAGGGCGCCUGUAAUCCCAGCUAAUCAGGAAGCUGAGACAGGAGGAUCGCUUGAACCCAGGAGGCGGAGGUUGCAGUGAGCCGAGAUUGCUCCAUUGCACUCCAGCCUGGGCGAUAGAGUGAGACUCAGCCUCAAAAAAAAAAAAAAAAAAAAAUUCGCCAGGUGUGGUGGUGUGCGCCUAUAAUCCCAGCUACUCAGGAGGCAGAGGCACAAGAAUGGCUUGAAUCACUUGAACCUGGGAGGCAGAGGUUACAAUGAGCCGAGAUGGCACCACUGCACUCCAGCCUGGGCGACAGAGCGAGACUCCGACUUCCCAUCUUAAAAAAAAAAAAAAAAAAAAAAAAGAAGUGUAAAGAUGUGAUUAUGUGGCAGGGGGUAAGGGUUAAAAAGAAAACAAGAACAAGUUUUCCUCUGCUUAGCCAGCUUACUUCAAGGACAGUUAUAACACUGAAAAGUCGAGGCCAAAGGAAUGGGCUCCAGACAGCCUCCUCCGGAGCAAAGUUGAAAAGAAAAAUUCCUUUACUGUCUCUCCUUUUCUGAACCAUUAAAUAUGACUGUUUGCCAAUGGUUGUAUUUA
rnacentral:lncRNA from 1 species